rnacentral:rRNA from 1 species
UCAAGAAACUUCCACAAUGGGCGAAAGCCUGAUGGAGCGACGUCGCGUGAUGGACGAAGUGCUUCGGCACGUAAACAUCUUUUAUGUGGGAUGAAAUUAUUGACAGUACCACAUGAAUAAGGGGCUCCUAACUCUGUGCCAGCAGGAGCGGUAAUACAGAGGCCCCAAGCGUUAUCCGGAAUCACUGGGCGUAAAGGGUGUCGAGGCGGUUGUAUUAGUCGUUCGUAAAAUCUACGAGCUUAACUUGUAGGCGGCGAACGAAACGGUACGACUUGAGGUUUGGAGAGGUGCGUGGAACUCACGGUGUAGGGGUGAAAUCCGUUGAUAUCGUGGGGAACACCAAAGGCGAAGGCAGCGCACUGGCCAAAAUCUGACGCUCACACACGAAAGCUAGGGUAGCGAAGAGGAUUAGAUACCCACGUAGUCCCUGAGCGGGCUGGCAAGGCGC